AGAAGCCUAAUCUACGCCUGCGAGACGUACACGCAUUCGAAUAUCGUUUGUUUUUUUUCUAACGGUUGAAGCUAGCGCGUGGUGCUCUUCUGUUACCUCCGUGGCCGACGGGAGCUAGAGGACGGUGCCCGUAUCGUUGAGGUAUAAAUAUGUCACGGUCUAAUGUAUUAGACGAAGACGAUAUUUUUGCAAUUUUGAACGAGGAAGACAAUCCUUCUCAGGAAGAUUCAGAUUCCGAAGUUGAGGAUAACCAGAUUAUCGACAACGUUCAAAGCGAGGACGAAAAUAAUGAAGUGUCUGAGUACGUUUCGUCUUUACAAGAAUC